AAGAAGAGUACACAGAGCUAGUCAAUUCAAAGCUUUAUUUAUAGUCGGCAUGUUACAGCUUUGAAUUGACUAGCUCUGUGUACUCUUCUC
rnacentral:sRNA from 1 species